rnacentral:misc_RNA from 1 species
UAACGGUUGGGAUUUACUUUGAAGAGGAAAGGGGCUUUAAAUCUUCAGUUUUAAAAGGCAUGAAUCCCUCAACUUGGAACAUGUGUUAAUAAACAAUCGUGUGAGCAUGAGGAUGAUACAAAAAUUAAAGAAUUAGUACAACCAAUUAGUACAACCAAUCAUGGGGAUGGUGAAACAAAAGAAUAAAAGGAAAAUGAGAUAUUUAGCUAAUUGUAAAUGAAGGGCCAUAAGACAUUGAAGCUGUCAGCUGUCCUUUUCUCAUGUACUAGUCCUAGUUCCCUUGUCAUCAAUGUUGCUCUUUUCUAAGGUUCUUGAAUAAAGUUACAGGCUCAGCAGAGAG